UGGGGAAUAUUGGACAAUGGGGGAAACCCUGAUCCAGCCAUGCCGCGUGAAUGAUGAAGGCCUUCGGGUUGUAAAGUUCUUUUGGUGGGGACGAUGAUGACGGUACCCACAGAAUAAGCUCCGGCUAACUUCGUGCCAGCAGCCGCGGUAAUACGAAGGGAGCUAGCGUUGUUCGGAAUUACUGGGCGUAAAGGGCGCGUAGGCGGUUUAACAAGUUGGAUGUGAAAGCCCUGGGCUUAACCCGGGAAUUGCAUUCAAGACUGUUUCACUAGAAUUCGGUAGAGGUUGGUAGAAUUCCCAGUGUAGAGGUGAAAUUCGUAGAGAUUGGGAAGAAUACCCGUGGCGAAGGCGGCCAACUGGACCGACAUUGACGCUGAGGCGCGAAAGCGUGGGUAGCAAACAGG
rnacentral:rRNA from 1 species